rnacentral:rRNA from 1 species
UACAGAGGUCUCAAGCGUUGUUCGGAUUCAUUGGGCGUAAAGGGUGCGUAGGUGGCGGGGCAAGUCUGGUGUGAAAGCCUUGAGCUUAACUCAAGAAAUGCAUUCAGGACUGGAUGACUAGAGGACCGGAGAGGAUAGUGGAAUUCCCAGUGUAGUGGUGAAAUACGUAGAGAUUGGGAAGAACACCAGUGGCGAAGGCGGCUAUCUGGACGGUUUCUGACGCUAAGACGCGAAAGCGUGGGGAGCAAACAGG